GAUAAACGCUGGCGGCGUGCCUAAUGCAUGCAAGUCGAACGGGCGACACUUUUGUGUCGUGACCGUGGCGGACGGGUGAGGAGCACGUAGCUAACCUGCCCUGGUGUGGGGGAUAUCCUUCGGAAACGGAGUGUAAUACCGCAUGUGCUCACUUGAGGGGACUUGAGUGAGGAAAGCCGAGAGGCGUACCAGGAGGGGGCUGCGUCCGAUUAGCUAGUUGGUGGGGUAACGGCUUACCAAGGCGAUGAUCGGUCGCUGGUCUGAGAGGACGAUCAGCCACACGGGGACUGAGACACGGCCCCGACUCCUACGGGAGGCAGCAGCAAGGAAUUUUCCACAAUGGGCGCAAGCCUGAUGGAGCAACGCCGCGUGGGGGAUGACGCACUUCGGUGUGUAAACCCCUGUUCGAGGGGACGAAGGCAAUGACGGUACCCUCGGAAGAAGGAUCGGCUAACUACGUGC
rnacentral:rRNA from 1 species